rnacentral:rRNA from 1 species
GACGAACGCUGGCGGCGUGCUUAACACAUGCAAGUCGAACGGAAAGGCCCUGCUUUUGUGGGGUGCUCGAGUGGCGAACGGGUGAGUAACACGUGAGUAACCUGCCCUUGACUUUGGGAUAACUUCAGGAAACUGGGGCUAAUACCGGAUAGGAGCUCCUGCUGCAUGGUGGGGGUUGGAAAGUUUCGGCGGUUGGGGAUGGACUCGCGGCUUAUCAGCUUGUUGGUGGGGUAGUGGCUUACCAAGGCUUUGACGGGUAGCCGGCCUGAGAGGGUGACCGGCCACAUUGGGACUGAGAUACGGCCCAGACUCCUGCGGGAGGCAGCAGUGGGGAAUAUUGCACAAUGGGCGGAAGCCUGAUGCAGCAGCGCCGCGUGCGGGAUGACGGCCUUCGGGUUGUAAACCGCUUUCGCCUGUGACGAAGCGUGAGUGACGGUAAUGGGUAAAGAAGCACCGGCUAACUACGUG